GCGCGCCUGCGCAAGUCGUUACCCAAUCAGUACCGAGUGCGGAGGCUUGUGGAAACGGACUCCGCAGGGUUGGCGGACUUCUGAAGGAGCCAAGAUGGCGGCCUGAGGCGUUCGCCGGCGAGCUGGCCUUUGGGCCGGCUUCUGGCCGGUCCAGUGCUUCUGCUGGCUCAUGCGAGGUAAGCCGAGAAGGCCAGCGAUGGGGGACAAGCAGGAAGUGGCGCGGGUGCAGGAGCGCACGGAGCCUGCCCGCAGCCGGCACUGCCGGGCGUCGGCCAGGCGUGGGUUUCAUCCCGAGAUGCCCAGGGCGACUGCACCCGCCUUCCAGUUACCCCCUCACGGCUUCGUAUAUUGAUUGACGUACGUUACAACCAACCUACAACGGAAGGAUAGCGCGCCUGCGCAAGUCGUUACCCAAUCAGUACCGAGUGCGGAGGCUUGUGGAAACGGACUCCGCAGGGUUGGCGGACUUCUGAAGGAGCCAAGAUGGCGGCCUGAGGCGUUCGCCGGCGAGCUGGCCUUUGGGCCGGGUGGGCCGGCUUCUGGCCGGUCCAGUGCUUCUGCUGGCUCAUGCGAGGAAGAACAUUUCCCUUGACUUUUAGGUGCUUUUAUAUUCAUCUUGAAAAGAAAAAAUUCUGAACUCAGGAUUUGGCAAGUAUUUCUGUGUUGUCUUCUGGAGUGGGGAGUCCUGCUUCUUCUAUCCAACCACUUCCGUAAUCUUGAAAUGCGGAUAUCCCUCUACACUUGACCUCCAUGAUUUGGAUUGCAAAAGACUGCUUUUCUUUUUCUUCCCACCUCUCAAAUUUAACACAGAGAAGCUCCUAGGAUGCAGUCAUCCUGCCAACUUCUCCAGGAAGAAAGAACAACUGACAUGUUUCUUCUGCCAAUUGCUUACUUGUGAAGAAAUUAUUUUGCAAGCUGAAGGGUGAUGUUUAAUUUGAAACUGGUGCUUAGAUGGUGGUAUUUGUGAAUUCUUUACCUUUUAUUCCCAGGAAGAAGACUAUCUAAAUAGCAAGUGUAGGUGUGACAUCAGGGUUUGUUUGGUUUUUUUAAUGUCUUCCCAUUUUAGCCACUAUCAAAAACAGUCGAGACUGCAGCAGUAAAUUUCAGAUGUGUUGUAAUUUGAAAUGAAAGAGAUGCAUAUAUAUAUCUAUAUCUAUAAAUCCUGGCUUAUCCUGUGACAUAGAUGAACUGGAUAAGAACAAAGGUCCAGCUUUGCAGUGAAACCUUUGAUGUGAUAAAGAAGCAUAAAAACAGAAUAUCCACAAAGUUAAUUUCAUAUAUGAAUAAGCCAUCACAGUCUCUGUAUAAAUAUAUAUUUUAACAUGUAAAUCCAUUUUUUUUAUGAGAAGAGGGAUUUUUCUCCAAGAGAAGGAGCCUGUUCUUUCUCAUAAGUCUUUGGACAUUUGGUAUUUUCUUUUAAUUUUUUUUUUCUUCUAAGGAAGGACCAUAUUGUGCUAACCCAAUGAAUGCAUGCUUGGGUUUAGUGAAGGUUGGUAAAGGAAACAAAAGCUUUGAGUCCAGUGUUGGAACCCUUUUCUCCUCCCUGGGAUGAGAGGCUGCUGUAUUACAAAUUAUUUCAUUCUUUUUUGUGGAGUUUUAUAUAGCACUUGGGACUUUUUCCCUAUUGCUAAGGCUGGAAGAAAAGUGACUUAAAUAGAUUUUCUGUUCAGAAGAUGUGAUGGACCAUACAAUAUGACCUGCCUUCAACUUUGGACAUGGAGGAAUUGGGGGGAAGGAGAUGAGAAAAUUUUCAUAUAACUCCCUUCUCCUAAGAAAAUGAAGCAGAAAAAGCCUUAUACAUCCACCUGGCUUUAUGGCGUUUUACAUUCUAUAGCUCUAUUUUUUGUAGAAGUAUAAAUAACUUUCCUUUAUUGCUUUUUCUAGAUGAUAGCUGUAAUGUUAGGCUGAAAAUACUGGGACUCAGGUAACUUCCCCAUUUUCAUCAGAGAAUGGGCCUUAGAAGCAAUGUUCCCAAAUGUGUUUGGAUCAGUAUAAAUUUAGAAGAAAUUCAGGUCUGAAAAAAACCUCAAACAAGAAAAAUAGUUCCAAUAAGAAAUAUGGAUCUUCCUUUUCCUUAAAACUUACACUAUAUGAUGAAUAGACUAUAGUAUAAAGCUGUUCUUGCUUCAAAAUCAGCAGAGGAACAGUGUAUGAAUUGUCAGGUCUUGACAUGAGAAGAAUGAAACCAUUAUGGGUCUUUGUUAUUUGAGAAAGAAUUUAAAGCCUCUUAGGAACAAAUGAUCCUAGAUCAUGUCUGUGAUUUAGGGACUGCUUGCCCAGGGCCAUACAUGUUGUUAUGCUGAAAACGGGCAGAUUUACCAAAAUUUGAGAGUGAUAGGACUGGCCCAGAAUGGAAAUGUUGAGCACCCUUGAUAAUUAGUUGAAUUGGUCAACCAAUCUGAAUUGGCAUAAGAAAACUUUUUAAGUAAAAAUAAUUAUAUAGAUAAAAUGUAAUUUUCCUUAAUUGAGGGCAAUUACUGAGUGGUAAAGCAUAGAAGUAACUUUGGAUCAAGGUAGUUCAAAUUUUUCUCUAUGUAACUUCCCAGCCACUUCCUGAUUCCUAAUAUUUUGGAAUUAUUAAUGGCAGAAUGGAAUUUACAUAUUUGGGUCCUGUUGGUAUUUUGAGAAUAUCAAAUGGAGAAUUUGUAUCUUCAGUUGUCUAUUACCCAUCUCCCUGGUGUCCUUUUGGCAACUUUUUAGGUGGAAUUAUUUGGCUAGAAAAAAGGAACCCUGUACUAUUAGAACCAGUGAAAACAUCUCUGGCCCACUUGUUUAAAAUAUGUAUCAGACUCAACUUAGUUGCUUUAUGUUUUUUUCAUUUCGAAGCUAAGGAAAGUACUGUUUAAUGUUCUUUCAUUUGUUUCUGCAUCUUGUCAGCAGAUAGCAUUUAACAAAACGCGUAUAUUCCAGUUGUACUUGCCCAAUGUUUAUUUAAUACAUCUACAUUGCUUUUUCCUGGUUUGGUCCUCUUCUUGAUGACAAAAGUUUUCAUUUUCGGCAGGACUAUGCCUCAAUCGAUAGUUGUGCCUGCUUGCUUUCCUUUGUGCAUCCAUUUUAGCUGGCAGUUGUUUUUUUGUUGUUGUUGUUUUAGUUUAAAACGGGAUAUGUGCAAUAGAAAUAUAUAUAUAUGUAUAUUUUAAUACUUGUGGACAAAUGUUACAAGUUGUUUCAGAACAACAAAAUCACCAAUGUCUUCCAUUUUGAGAUGUGUAUAGUUUUGUAAGCAUUAGUGCUUGGUAGCAUAUUGUAGUGCCAUGUUAGGGGUUAGUGCAUGAGCCUAGUAACAAUUUAAACUUCAGGAUGAAUUAUUAUAAUAACCAAUAGUGUAAAAAGUGAAAAAUUUAGAACUUCUCUUUCAUAAGUUUCUGUAUCCAUGAUAUUCUCCCUGGAGAGAGGAGAUUAGGCCAAAAAGACUCAUUUAUGAAUAGUAAUGUGGGGUCACUAUGUGAAAUACUGUGUUUGAGGAUAUUUAAGCUUUUCAUGAGGUAGCUGGAAACCAGUUGCCUUUGUGUCUUAUGAAACCUCAAAUCAAAAUGUGGCCCCAUUUCAUGAUUCUGCUUUGCUCGGUUUUAGGUGAGAUUGUUCUUACGCUUUUUUCACAUUUUAUGUCUUUUAGGUUUAUAAUUUUCCCAUUCCUUUUGCAUCAGGAAAUUAUUUUGCACGUCUUCCUGAGAUGCUAUGUUUGUUGCUUGAGUGCUUUUCUAAUCUGCAGCCUACUUAUACUUCCUGUCUGCAGCAUGCCAUGUGUCAGUAGUUUUAGAGUGUCCUAGAUUAAUUUGUCAUGGGCUUUUCCUAUUUCCAAGUUUGCUGAAUUGUGUAUUAAGAUUCUAGACCUUUUCAUGGAAUUGGAAAUGUAGCCAAUAGAGCCUACCUAAGUUGCCAUGUAAUAACUAACUUUUGCUUGGUUAUAGUAAGCCUCCUCAGACAGCUUUCACUUUUCUACUUUCCUUGUAGACAUAAAAGUUAUUUUUGUCCUGAAAGCAUAAGAUAGUGUCUUGUAGAAAAAAAAAUUUCUACCUCUAAAAGCUGCCUUGAGAACUUGGAAAUGGCAGUUUUCUGAGGUGAUUUUUAAAUCUCUUAGGAGAGUCCAGGAUUUAUUCAUAGGUUCUACAGUUAGCAUGAUAGGAAAUGCAAAACUAGUUUAAUGUGGUGUCUGAUGUAGAAGCAAGCUUAGACAAAUAGACUCUUCUGCAGCAGAUCUCCAGGGACCCGGGUUUAGAUGCUCAUAGUGUACUUUAAGUAGUUGUACUCUCAGUUCAAGUAGUUUAGUGCCUGCGAGAAUCCAUUUCUGAAAAGUAUUUAAAUACUUUUUUAAUACCUCUGAAAAGGUAACGAAUGCAAAAUAGCACAGUAUAUAGGAAAGAAUAUUUCCUAUUGCAAAAAAAAAAACAAAAAGCCAUAAAACGAACUAAUAAUUUCAAGAGGUAGAAUUUUAGCAAUAACAAUUUUAGCACGUAUAGUAAGCUAGAUUAGCAAGGUUGUACAGUAGAAUAAGUAUUACUAGAGUUUGUGAGGCUCUGUGGUCAAGAGUUGUAUAAAAGGAAAAAGAUGCUAGGUAAAGAGCAUACAGAAGGUACUUUUAAAAACUAUGAGUGUAUAUGAAUAUAUCAGCGAGAAAUAGCAACUUUUAUGUAAAUUAAAGGUUAAAGAUACUAUUUGUUUUCUAUAACAGAGGGUUGAGCCAUUGAAUGAACUAUUUCUACUGCUUAACCUGGAAACAAAUGUACUCUUAACUGAUGAAGAAAUCCCACUGAAGCUAUCAUGUGGGGAUCUUGCUUAUGAUGUUUUUUGUUGUUGUUGUUGUAUGCUUUAUUUUUAUUUUUGCUUAAAUAAGAACAAUGCAACAUUCAAUACUCCCUCUUUCUACCUUUGGGGAUUGAUACAGAUUUGCUGGGGCCAAAACCUAACAUUAUGUCGACUUAUUGCUGAUGGUUAAUUGACAGUGUUAGGGACAAAGAAACCUCCAUUGCUACCAAAGGGUUGCAAGCUUCGGACAUCUAACUGUGGAACUGCUGCUACCCACAUAACUGUUUAGGAUUCAUUCAGUGCUUAACAGACAAGGAUUCUUGCACUUAAACAAGCUGAUGGUAAACAAGAUGUACUGAUUUCAACUAGAAAAUUUUAAACCACGCUAACAUAGCUAAUGUGAUACUUGUAUCAUGUAACUUAAGUUCCAGUUCUCUCUUCGGAGUCCUCACCUAGCUGGUUAACAGAGUAUUGAAUAAUGGCCAGAUCUUGCAGUUGAGCAUCAUUCACGAGCUUUUUGUGCAAUUGGGCCAAUUCAUCUUUAAAUUCUUUUGUUUCAUUGGCAACAUGCUGUUCUUUAUUUAUCUUUAAGCAUGCCAUAUCCUGUAUGAACUGGACACGUGCACCUUUAAUAUUUGCAGGCUCUGGUUUAGGAUAUUUCUAGCUUUUGGGGAACACUUUUGUAGCUUGAGAAACAACUUCUUCAGUUUUUGCUCUUCUAACUUGAUGUUCUGCAGAGCUCUCUCCAGCUUUGAAACAAAGUCUCUAAUUGCUCUUCAUAUUUAUCAUAAAGCUUCUCCAUUGGCUCCUGCCCCUUCCUGUAGCCGUCUCCAUGCUUCUGGGUAAUAGUUUCCAGGCGAGCAUUGGCUUCCAUGAUGAGUUUUCUUCUCUUUGUAAGAAGAGGCCUUUCCAUGCCACCUUUAUAUUUGUCCAGCAUUUUCGCUAUUGCCUCCCCCACUGCUCUGUCAUGUAGGUUUGAAGGACUGUCUCCACCCUCGUUAACAACUACUGGACUAUCUCCUGGGGAGAGUUUAUCUUUGCCUCCCAAGUAAUGGUUUUUCUUAGCCUGAUCCUCCAACGGGGCAUGGAACUCUUUGUUCUUGGCCUCCUUCCAAGGCUGUGCCAUCGAGCUGUGUCCUGAGGUAGUCACGGACUUCCUGAGCCUUCACACCCGCUCCCCAUUCCCGCCCUGGGGCCCUGCCUGUUGGCCUAGGAUAGCCUUCCUUGCCUGUGGGCCAGGAAGGCUUAUGAUGUGUUUUUUAGCAUCACACUAAUAGCAUACUUUUUGCUUUGUCACCUUAUCUUUCUCCAUUAGUUUCCUGGGUGCAUUUUUAAAAAGGAAAACUUCGUUGUGUAUAUGUAUUUAGGGUUAAUAAGAACUUGGAUAGCUGGAAACCUCAUGCCUAUGGUUAGUUUAGGGAGUUAAGAUUUAAAGGUAUAAAGCAAAAGGAUUAAAGGAAAUAGCCAGAGGCAGUAUGUUGGUUUUGGUUUUUUUUUAAACCUUGUCUAAAGUAGAUGUUCGAGGCCAAUAGUCUGUGACUACUUACUUUAACAAGAACCCAGCAAACUAGUUUCUUGAUGAGGAAUCAUGCAGUUCACAUUAGGAUAGAAGAGUAGAAUGAAGGUGACUCUUACUCCCUUUUACCUCAUGUCAUCUUGGCCAUUUAGCACUUUGAAGAUCCCUGAAAAGAUGUGGUCUAUGUUCCCUUGUUUUCCAAAUGGAAAAAUAACUAAAAGAUAAAUGGAGAAGAUCAACAAAUACAGUGCCUCUUGAAUAUUUAAUUCUUACAUGGCAACUCCAAAGGAUAGGGAGGCUAUACUAAAUUUAUUAUAGCUCCCUUUUAAAUGUCCUAGACCAUCAGUUGGUGUUAAAGACAUUGGAAUAACCAAGCAAUAUUCAGACAUCUGCAUGAUCAUGAGACAUAGGUGUAUUACUGUGAUGUCAGCAGUUACUUAGAACAAUUAAAGAUUACCCUUAACAGCCACGUUAAUAGUUCCAAAUGCUAAAAUGUGCUACAAGUUUUUGUAGUUUCAAAGUACGCAGUUAAUUAGUUUUCAGUGUUGUGAUCUCAUGUUUACUUUUAGUGUACCUGUGAUAUGCAAAAUAUGAAGAAACCCUUGGCCUCCAGGAGUUUACAUUAUCAUGGUGCUGCUGGUGCAAGCAAAUUACUUAUAGUUUAUUCAGAACAUUGCUUGGCUAUUUAGUCAUACCAUAUUUGGAAGGAUCCCUUGAUCAACAGUUUUCAAAAGCAGAGGGCUAUGCUAAAUUUCAGGGCAUUGAUUUUGAGUUUACAUUAUAUUAGCUCUGCUAUUAUUAAACUCCUUUCCCCUGGGAGCUGUGGAGGUAAUGCUCUUAAUGUGAAUCAGAAAGAAAAAAAUAAAAUUCUAAGAGCAUUUUCACCAUCCCUAAACCACUAUGCUCCUCUAUUCUAUAGCAGUUAACAAAUGGCCAAGAAAACUGCUCCAGAAGACUGUACAUCUCUCAGUUCUCUUUCUUUUCCCAGAGGCUUUGCAUCAUUCUCUACCCAGAAGGACCAGGAUUUGCACUUAAGCCUUUAUAACUGAAUAGUAGUCCUAAUUUUAACUUGAGUGUGUGACUUUUGUACCUGGAUUCUGAAGUAGCAUUGUAAUAGAUGUGGAACAUCUGCCUGCAUUUCUAAGCAAUCACUUUAUCCCCAUUUUUGGUUGAAACUUUGCAUGUAUCUUUGCUAUUCUAAUUCUUCUAAAUCAAGGGGUUUACUCUGCAUGUUUAUUAAAACUGAGUCUGGAUGAAAGUGCAAGCAAUAGUGGCAGACCCAUAACUCUGAUUUUAGAGUACUAAUAUUUUAAUGCAUGUUUGAAAAUGUCUAGUAUUAAGUGGUUAGUAGUAAUUAUAUAUAUGCAUUUAUUAAUGAAGCAAUAGAGACUUAAACCAAUAGCUUGAAUUUAUUGUUUGGAUUAUUAGUUUACAUUUUCUAACUAAAGAUGAUCUUACUUCCAUUGAAAAUGGAAGUUAGACGAUAAACAGGGGCAACCAUAAGACAAACUGUCAGGAAUAGAGCAUAACAGUGCUCAUCACCCUCUAACCUCUUGCCUGAUUCCAUUAGUCCCCAAGCAUGUUUAAAAACAAUACAAAAGGCACAAACUAAGCAUGUGAAAUAAAUAAGCUGCUAUGGUUAUAAUCAGAAAAGGUGCAGAGUUUCAAAAAGGAUAGGGAAUAGUGUGGAGUUAAAAACAAGUAGAUACAGGGUUUGUCUGGUAAAGUUUAUGUGGCUUAAAUCUGCAUCUCAUUACUAGUAUCUGGCAGUGAAUAGAGGCAAUUGCACAUAUUUUAAAUGUUUCAGGAUUUUCAGAUAACUAGGCAACUCUUCUGGAUUGUACUGGUAUUGAUUGGUCAUAAAGGAUCCCAGCAGCAAAAGAAACUUGCAUUUUGUGGAAAUAGUCCUGAAAAUAUUAACAUAUCUGUGGUUUGGUUUCUCUUUCGUUACUGUAUUACAUUAACAUUAUUUUGUUAUUUUUUUUAAUAGCCAGAGUUUUUUAUUGAUGCUUUGGUCAGGCUGCAUAAUUUGCCUAAAGCUUUUGAUGCCACGUAAACAGGAGCAAGUUUUUACUUUUAUGUUUAUUGUAGUAGCUUAAAAUUUUUAGACAAUUCCUAAUUUUGGAAUAAUCCUUAUAAGUCCAAGUGAUUAUGAUGAAUAAUGUAAAUGGGAGUAAUUAUAUCUUAAGAGGCCUAAAUAGGAUUAGACUAGAUAGACACUUUGCUAUGGGAUUUCCCUCCAGAUACCUUUGGAAAUGUUUAAAUGUAAUGGUAACUUUUCAGUAGUUUACAACGGAAUUAGAGUAUGGUCAUCACAGUGUUUGGUUUCCACUCAAAUAUAGGAAGUAAGAUAUCAUAUCCCAUAUGUAAAUUUUCUCUUUGCCACUUAUUAAUAACAUGCCUAUCAACCAAUGAAGAUUUAUGGAGUUUCUCUAAACUCUGUUCCCAUUAUUCCACUAACGCAUAUUAAAAGUUAUUAGAAAAACAAAUAUCAUAGAUUUCUCCAGGAACCCAUACUCCUAAGCCUCCCUUUUAAAUCAGAAUAGAUAUUUUAGGGUUACUAACAAUUUCCAAAAGAUUUUGUCUUGUGGUGAUGGUCUGCCAUGCCAUCAAUUCAAAUAUAUUUUUCUUCCAGGGACAAAAAAGAUAUUCUGGCAAUACAUUAUCAUCAGUCCUUAAACAAUAGUAAUCAUCUUGGCGCUUACCUUAAAAUCACCCAUCACUAAGAAUCACAUUAGAGUACCCUUUACAUAGGGUUUUAUGUGCUACCUGUCUGUCCUUUUAAGUACAGUUGUUGCUCAUUGUUUUUACUUGCUAUUCUGUAUCUUCAUUGUACCAGUGAUAUAGGCGAUAAUGUUAAAAGAAUUUCAUUGAAUGUUUAAAGUAUUAAAAAAGCAGCUUGCUUUUUAAUCUAUGCAUCUUUGGGAUUUUAGAAAAGAUUUAUUGUUUUCUAAAGAUUUUAUGUAAAAAGGAACUGCGUUAAGAAUUGGAAACUCUGCACCUGUGUGUGUAUGUAUAUAUUUUUUUGGCAAUAAAGCAGCAUGGGCUGAGAAUGUA